CGUAAAACACGCACAGAGAAACCCAGACCCCAGGUUUCAUUUGGGGAGAGGUGAGUGUCUGUUAAAGAAGAAAGGAAGGCACAGACGUGUGGACAUAUUUAUGGGAACAGAUAACAGGACUAAUACGUUUUCUGGAUUUUUGUAUUUUCAUCAGAAAAAAGUCUCUGAUUUUAAAAUGUGUCCUCAGUUCCCCCCAAAGACCUUUGUUUCCCUAAAAUAACUUCAUCCAUUAAUUACUGUUUGACUCGAUUACCCCCGCGGGAGGGAGAGCAAGUCCACAGAAGCGCCUGAUGAAGGUGGAGAGGAAGAACGUUUGACAGGAGGUGACCUGCACUCUGAUAUCCUGAAGCUGGAAACGUGUAGAAGCAGAGUUUCUAAAAGAAAGAGCUGUGCACUGUUAUUGUUAUUGAUCAGCUGAUCAGAGGAAAGCACGUGUUUAAUGUGCACGCCGACUGUCCUGAGCAGAAUGACUCGCAGUGUUUGUGGAAGCCGAGGUCAGUUCGUGGUUAGACGUCAUGUUUCUGAGCACAGAAAAUAUCAUCCAGGCUUUAACAGCUGGCUUCUGCUUCACGCCCCGACACUCUCCAAACGACCACAUCACGUACAAAAUGAGACAUUUAAACGGUUAUAAUGUGAUGUAGACGUAGAUUUGGUGCUUUUAGCUGCAGAAGCUCGAACAGUCCCGAGGCCGUCGCCCCCACCACACCUGCACUGAUGUGCAUGGCAUGCAAAUGUCUCCCAAAUCACUGCGAGUUUGACUCACAAAUGAUCGUUUCCAUACCUGAAGGACAGGAAAGAAGGUGACUGUGGAAAACUCCCCACAGUCAGCCGCUGACCGCAGACCCGCAGAAACUUGAAGCUUCAUAUCAAAAUCACACAAAGCCACGUUUAUAAUUUGAUGAUACACUGAGGGAGACGUUGGUGUUUUCCUCCACCAUGUAUCCUUUGCUGCUCCUCCUCCUCCUGCUGCUGGGAGGGAGGAGCUCAGAGUCCACAGCCCCUGUGCCCUACGACAAUGUUGGCCAAAACUUUACUGUUGUGUUUCCGGAGAACAUCGCCAACUACUACCCCAGCCCGCCCACAAACAUGGUCAAAAUCACUGCUUUGAAAGACGGGACAACAGUCACACUUCAACAGUACGGCAAUCCUAAGCAUCGGGACCUGGACGCUGGAGAUGUUUGGAAUUUCACUGCGAAUGCAACGCUGGAACUCGGGAAGCAAAACAUCUCCAACAAUACUCUGACCAUUAACAGCAACAAAAAUAUCAUCGUUCAAGCCAUCAGCCUUAAACAAGACAGUCUGCAGACUGCUGUCGUCAUACCUACAGACAAACUCAGCACAAAGUACCUCAUCCCACCAAUACCCACAAUUCCCGGCACAAAUAAUCCUCAGGACUUAGUUGUGCAGACGGUGACGGAGCGAGGCCCGUUCAGAAUCAUUAUCGUCAACGGAGUUCAGGAGCAAAACAACGUGACCGUCGAAGGAUUAAAGACACAAGAAGUUUCCCUCCAGUCAGGCCAGGUCGCUCAGAUCUGGUUGGAGGAGGGCGCAGGGUUUAAAAAUGUGACGGCUGAAAAGCCAGUGGCCGUCCUCUUUGGCCACCCCUGCGCCAUCCUGGGCAACUGCAGCUGCGGGCUGCUCUACACCAUUCUGCCGCCAGCCCCAGGAGCGACGCUGAAGUACUUAGUUCCUCCAUUAUUGGCCAAGGAUGCUGAGGGAGAGACGAGGGUACUUUUGGCACAGAACGGUUCCACCAGCGUCAAACCCUACGACUCAAGCUCGCUGAUGUAUGAUGUAGCCGGCACAGCCAUCCUCUACCGGCCAGGCUUACUCCUCCCUCUGAUCCCAACGGCAAACUUUGCCUGCUGCUUUGUGGUCACAGCAUUCCCCGUGAUCUCCAAUAACUACGCCGUGAUCGUGGUCAGCAGUAACGUCACCGAUGGGGUUCGUGUUGGAAAGGACCGCAUAUCAAGUGCAGACUGGAAGACACUGGGGGGGACUGGUUACAGCUCGACACAAGUUCUUCUGAGUUUGGGUACCACUGUCAUCUGGCACACUUCCUCCAAAAUGGCCGUCUACUUUCAGGGAAACAAUGGAAGCACUUUGAUUGGGAACCAGGCACCUGUCAUCAGUUCAAGCCCAGAUUUCAGGGGCUGCGUCGUGACUCCCGAGGUUGUGGACUUGGAAGAACAACCCAACGGUUGGCGUGAAUCUUUUAAAAACUGCGCUGACAGCAACCUGGAGCUGCUCUGCCUGUCGAGCACAGACCUCCAGAAACAGAUCUAUGGCAAACUUAACCAGAACAGGUCUUUAAAUAGCAAUGCUAUACAAGAGGUGUGGAUCGGCAUGCGGCGCAGUUCGCUGAAUGGGCAGUGGUACUGGGUGAACGGGGACAGCGUCAACAGCACCAACUGGGGUGACGGUAAGCCCGGUGGGGUGGAGGAAGGCCAGUGCGCCAUCAUGAGUCUGGGAAAUGGCACGGACUUUGAGUGGAGCGACGACGAUUGCUGCAAGGAUGUUCAUUAUAUCUGCUACAAGGAGCCGGAGCUCUUCCCCAUAUAGGACCGGAACGCUCCUCUGCAGCUCUGCACUGUCAUUAGUUUCUCAUCCUACUCACAUAUAACCAUGCUGUAGCUGCCAGUCGCAUUAAUAUUUUAUGGCUCUGUAGAAGAAAAACAGGUGAUGCAAAGAUAUUUUGGUGCAUGUACUCUAGUUUAGUCUGAGGGUUUCUUCACAGCACACCGUGAUGCUGACACCUGAGCAACAAACCAGCAGCAUCUUUUUCCUGAAAAACAAAACAAAUCUGUAACUAAGCAUUUAAGAAAGUUUCACUUUGCAGAUGAUGUUCCUUUGUAUAUGUCUGCUGAUCUGACUGGGAAAUGUUAUGAUUGUACUGGUACAGUGGUUGGAAACCAGUGUGCAGCAUCACUGGUUUCCUGUUUCCUCUGAGAGAGUGUGAACUUUUAUUUGUCAAUAUUUAAAGUGUUUGAGCUUCGUGUCUUUGAUGACAUCAGCGUUUUAAACUUAGAACUGAAUUUGGUCGACAGUCACAAAAUAUGUAAACAACAUUCAUCUGUCAGCACCAGCCUUUGGUCAUAAUCAGCUGUGCAGAAGCUUCAGCAGGUGGAAAUGAGAGUGAUGAUAACUCAUAUUUACUGUUUAAGGUGUUUGCUUAUAGAUGUUAGCUUCCCUUUGCUGAAUGACUGGUGACCCAUCCUGCUGCUGUCUGCUGAUAGGAUAGUUCUUCAUUACAAACUGAAGAUGGAAAUUCAAGUGUGAUUUUAUUGUUUAAGGAUUCGUAAACUGAGCUGAAUGAAAAGUUUACAGGUAACCUCGUCAUCCUGAUGCUUCAUAUUUACCGGUUUGAAGUCGACUCAGCAGAGUUUGUAUGUUGAACUGUUGAAUCUGCAGUCUGAUUGGUCAGAAUCAUCUAUGCACCAGUUUUAUUGUAAAAAUGAUAAUUCCAGUCAAUCAUGGACUCAACGACGUAUCAAUAAAUCUGUUUUGCUGUGACAAACCCGA
ensembl:lncRNA